rnacentral:rRNA from 1 species
GGAUGUUAUCAAACCAUCAUUAACGCACUGAAUCCCAUCAAAACUUCGAAGUUAAGCAUGUUUGAAUGAGAGUAGUACUAGUGCUAGGAUAGGUGACCCCAGGAAGUACUCGUGUUGCAUUCC